GGGGCCUCCGGCUGAAGCGAUUAGGGCCUGCUGUCCCAGGUGAGUGCCAGGGCCAUGCAAAGAAGGCCGUGGGGGACAGGACAGGUCCUGGAGCCCCCGAGGGUGCUCUUCCUGUGGCUCCCUGCUGCCUGCCCUGAAGCCAUGAGACCCAGGGACGAAGCAGAGAGGAAAGCAGAGGUCCAGGGCCAGCAUCCUCCCUCCUGGCCUGGCUGCCGGGCGACGUGGGUCGGGAUCUGGUCCUCCUGCUCCGUGGGACUCAGUGUUCUCCUGCAAUGGUGGAGCCAGAAUGACAGGCCCGGCCCACACUGCCCAGCUGCUGAGCCCAGGAAGGCCUGAGACAGCUCUCCCCCUUUCUCUUUCAGGGUACUGCCAGCCCGUGAUGGUGCUGGCACUUGCAGAAGCAACUGCAGUUUUACAGUCUCCUCAGCGUUUUCUUGAGUCAGUGCUUCUUCAUUGCAGAUAUUUAGUAAGUAUUUAGUUAAAUGGGAACUAUGACUUUAUGAUUGUUUAUCCUUUCCGUGCUUAUUGACCCCCAGUAUUUGUCAGGAAGGUGGACAGGAGUCCAGAAAGAGGGGCCGAGCUUCUGCUUUAAUGAACGCCUGAUGUGUGUGGACCAGCAUCGGAACGGAAGGUUAUGAAGGGGUGCGAGGCAUGGGGCGAGGCCCGUGGAGCGCUCUGAGCUGGAGGUGCAGCUCUGGCCCACAGGCCGCGCCUGCGCAGCAGAUAAAUAUUUAACAACGCGCCCUGGAAGGAGGAGCCCUGACUGCAGCGCUCCAAGUUCUGCGGUGCAGUGUUCCUACCAGUGCUGCCAGUGGGGCGUUACCAGAGAUGCAGGAGCAGCUCUACUUCCGGCCACCUCCGGCCACCAGUGUGGCAGCCAGGGGGCUGUGAGACUGCGGAGGGCUUCUGGGACAGCGGCCCUGCUGAGUCUGAAAGUGGAAGAAAAACCCCAGAAGGGAUUGCUGCACCUCAGUUACCUACCGAAGAGACUCACUCUCGGACGUACUACAAAGCCAAGCAAGCACAUCAUGUACACUGAGGGAACAAGGGAAAGUGCUAUCUUUCCAGAUCCUGCUGUGCUGGUGAGGGAGGAAGAUCUUGUGAUCAGACAUUGUGCAGUCCUAGUGUGGGUAUCAGCUUUCCCGGAGGCAAAGGGUCAGUCUUCACCUGCUGCCUUGCUUUCUCUGCUGCUGUGUACCCAUUGCUCCUACAGAGGGCCUGGACUGAAGGACCCUAGUUAGCAAGACAGACUCCCUAUUGCUGCUGAGCGACCCACCUGCCUGGCCUUUAGAUGAACUCAAAAGGAGGAAGCUUAGGAACCUCCUCCCCUUAGAGAGUCUCUUAGAAACAACAAUUAAUCAACUAUUGUUUUACAGAUGUUCUAAAGACAGGAUGUUCCGCUUCUGUACCUUUUGCUUGCUUUGCUAGUUCUGUCCCAUAGUGGGGACUAGAAACUGCUGGCCUCAAAGGUAUAUAAAAUAUGUUAAUCUCUCCCAGUCUGGGCUCAAGUCUGAUGCUCGGCUCAGUCCUGGCAGGUAAUAAACUCCUGUGUGGAUUUAAUAUCGGUCUCUGGUUGGUUCUUUCUCACUGGUUGCAACAUGGACCACAAGGGUGGGCCU
rnacentral:lncRNA from 1 species